GGUGAUUGGGGUGCACGGUGUUGGUCUGUGCUAUGCUGUGUUGUUGGGCUGUGUUUUGCAGUCUUGGCAACAGAGCUCACUCCCCACCUGCAGCCAUAGAGCAACUGGGGAUCAUAGUACUGGUCUUUGAUGUCUUCACAGAUAUCUAAUCAUUGACCAGCCUCCAAACUCUCCAACAAAC
ensembl:snoRNA